GAGGCAAGGAAGGAAUUUUCCCACCUUAAUUGUCCCAUGAAUGUAAAAGAGAUAAAGAAGGAUUACCUAUCUUUGCUGUCUUAUAUUUUCAAAGGAGAUAAAAAAAAUGUGUUCUCUUGAUUCUCCUAUAAUGAGGAGACAAAAGAAAAUUAAUCGGGUUAUCGAUUAAUAUUCUUUUGAUCGUCCUUUUAUUGGAAGAACAAUGGGAUGUUCGAAAAAUAAUCGAACUCUUUGAUUCUAUCCAAAGUCGAAUCUUUCGAUUUGGCCAAAUUAGACCAAAUUGAGAUUUAAUUGAAUUGGACAUUUUAUGUGAUUCAUGACUGAGAAUUUGGCAAAUAAAAAAAAUGCACUCGAAAAUUUUAAGUGAUACAUUUGAUUCUGAAUCAUACCUUUAAAUAUUUUGAUCUCAUAUGAUCCAAAAUUAACCACCUCAAAACAAUGGAUCGAGUCUAUACCCACCUCAAAUUACACAACUCCGGCUCAGCCCAAAUGUGAACACAAAACUCAGGUUCAGGUCAAACAGAAAUUGGGCCCCAAUUCUAUAACUUGCCUAAAUAAAACUUGGACUUAAGCCAUGCGGGCCUAAACUGAGCCCAAGCCCAUAUCCAGAAUUUAAAUUCAAUUCAGGCCUCAACCAUAUGGGCUUAAAUUUAGUCCAUGCCUGAAUAUAAUUAUAUGGGCCCGAAUUUGGACCAUGCUUGAAUCCACAGCAGAAUUGAAACAAGCCAUGGAUUUCCUCAUAUGGACUAGCACCAAAUCCAAUAGCACCAAAUCCAAAUAUUUAACCCAAAUCAAGAUUUGAAAUUAUGCUUAUCAAUCAAAUCCACUCUUGAACCUAAGCCACAUAGGCUAGGUACAACCGGAAUAUGAAACUAAGUCUUACCAACUUUUUAAUCCAAUUCUCUAGCACAUUAAGCUAGAGUCAUAUUGUUACCACAUUCAUAUUAGAUCAAAUUCUAAAUUAUUUGUUUAGAAUUAAUCAAACCAUCUAUUUAUCUUAGUAUAUAUGACUAAGAUAAAAAUAAUAAAUUAGGUUUCACCUAAUGAAAAAAAAAAAAAAAUUAUUGAACUCUAAUACAUUUACUGAGAGUUCAAACAAACGAAACUGAAUUAGACUCUAAUACAUACACUAAGAGUUUAAUUUAAAUCAAAUUUUGACUAAUCCUAAUAUAUAUAAUUAGGAUUUAGUUAAUAUUUCACCUUAUGGUGAACUCAAUGUGAGACAUAAUUAAGCUCUAACAUAUGAGCAUAGAGCUUAAUUGCACUGGACUUUGAGAUAUUAAAUUGAAGUCUAAUCCUAACACAUACAUUUAGGAUGAAGGCUUAAAUUGAAUAUCAAAUCAAAUCCCAUUGGACUUUAUCAUAUAUAUUUAAAGUUCAAUUAAUCAAAUCAAACUCUAAUGCAUCUAACUAGAGUUUAAUUUGAAUCAAACCUUAUUAAAUCCCAAUGUAUAUACAUGGAAUUUAAUCAACCUUCCAUCUUGAGGUGAACAAUGUUGAGCACUGAAAUAUAUAGAGCCCAAUUAAAUCAAUUUGAUCAUAUACUUUGAUAUCUUGGUUCAGAAUCAAAUUCAAUCAACCGUCNUAUAUAUAUAUAUAUAUAUAUAUAUUAUCAAAAGAAAGAAAGAGAUUACUCUCUAUUUAUGAAAAAGAGAGGGAGCUUUGUUAAAAAAAGGGAGGCAAGCAAGGGAUUUUUCCACCUUAGUUGUCCCAUGAAUGUAAAAGAGACAAAGAAGAAUUAUCUAUCUUUGUUGUCUUGUAUUUUCAAAGGAGAUAAAAAAAAAUGUGUUCUCUUGAUUCUCCUAUAAUGAGGAGACAAAAGAAAAUUAAUCGGGUUAUCAAUUAAUAUUCUUUUGAUCGUCCUUUUAUUGGAAGAACAAUGGGAUGUUCGAAAGAUAAUCGAGCUCUUUGAUUCUAUCCAAAGUCGAAUCUUUCGAUUUGGCCAAAUUAGACCAAAUUGAGAUUUAAUCGCAUUGGACAUUUUAUAUGAUUCAUGACUGAGAAUUUGACAAAUAAAAAAAAAAUGCACUAGAAAUUUUUAAGUGAUGAAUUUGAUUCU
rnacentral:lncRNA from 1 species